rnacentral:rRNA from 1 species
AAAAGGAUUGGCUCUAAGGGUUGAGUGGUGGGUCUCGGUGGGGGAAGCGCGGGGCGCGCGAGGGACUACUGGGGCUGACCUGCCUUUCGGGGCGGGACGGCUUCGGCGGACCCUUGGGGGCCUUGCGUGGACGCCAUCGAGGGGUGGCGUAGACUCGUUCUGCGUCACCCUCCAACGUGCCACAAAGAACAACCGACUUAGAACUGGAGCGGACAAGGGGAACCCGACUGUUUAAUUAAAACAAAGC